AUGGGCAACGAGUUCGACUACCUGUUCAAGCUCCUCCUGAUCGGCGACUCCUCCGUCGGCAAGUCCUGCUUCCUCCUCCGUUUCUCCGACGAUUCGUAUGUGGACAGCUACAUUAGCACCAUCGGCGUUGACUUUAAAAUCCGCACUCUCGAGAUGGAUGGGAAGACCAUCAAACUGCAGAUUUGGGACACAGCAGGACAGGAGCGGUUCAGAACCAUCACAAGCAGCUACUACCGAGGGGCUCACGGCAUCAUCAUUGUCUAUGACAUCACGGACAUGGAGAGCUUCAACAAUGUCAAGCAAUGGCUGAGCGAGAUCGACAAGUACGCCAACGACAGUGUGCGCAAGCUUCUUGUUGGUAACAAGUGUGAUCUGGCUGAGAGCAGGGUCGUCGAUACUGCCGUAGCACAGGCCUAUGCUGAUGAGAUGGGUAUUCCUUUCCUAGAGACAAGUGCUAAAGAAUCCAUCAAUGUUGAAGAGGCCUUUUUGGCAAUGUCUGCAGCAAUCAAGAAGAGCAAAGCUGGAGGCCUGGAGAGGAAGGCCUCUAAUCUGGUGCAGAUGAAAGGCCAGCCAAUUCAGCAGCAGCAGCACAAGCAGAAGAGCAGCUGCUGUUCAACAUGA
rnacentral:rRNA from 1 species